rnacentral:sRNA from 24 species
CUAUGGAACUAUUCAAUACAGCAUAGCAAAGUUAAAAUAAGGCUUUGUCCGUAAUCAACCUGAAAAGGGGAGCACCGAAUCGGUGCUUUUUUA